rnacentral:lncRNA from 1 species
UUAGAAACCAAAAUUUACUGUUUCUUUACUGUAGAUGGUUUGAGAAGUGCUGAUCUUGUUUAGCAGUGCCCUCGUGAUAUCUAUUAUUACUCCUGAAUGCGGCAACUUCUGGAACUUGGAAUGCUUCCCACAGCAAAGGAGGGAAAGCAGAGACUGAACAGCAGUGAGGAAGAAGAAAAAGAAAAGAAAAAACCAGGAGAAUGAGUUGGCUGGAAACAAGAGAAGGAUCUUCCAUCAGAGAGAUGAGGG